rnacentral:rRNA from 1 species
AUACGUAGGGGGCGAGCGUUGUCCGGAAUUACUGGGCGUAAAGAGCUCGUAGGUGGUUUGUCGCGUCGUCUGUGAAAUUCCGGGGCUUAACUCCGGGCGUGCAGGCGAUACGGGCAUAACUUGAGUACUGUAGGGGAGACUGGAAUUCCUGGUGUAGCGGUGAAAUGCGCAGAUAUCAGGAGGAACACCGGUGGCGAAGGGGGGUCUCUGGGCAGUAACUGACGCUGAGGAGCGAAAGCAUGGGUAGCGAACAGGAUUAGAUACCCUGGUAGUCCAUGCCGUAAACGGUGGGCGCUAGGUGUAGGGGUCUUCCACGACUUCUGUGCCGUAGCUAACGCAUUAAGCGCCCCGCCUGGGGAGUACGGCCGCAAGGCUAAAACUCAAAUGAAUUGACGGGG